rnacentral:tRNA from 1 species
UGGUGGGUGGCUCAGUGGUUAGAGCCUAGGGCUCGUAACCGAAAGGUUCCGAGUUCGAACUUCGCAAGAGGCAG